UACAGAGGUCUCAAGCGUUGUUCGGAUUCAUUGGGCGUAAAGGGUGUGUAGGUGGCGCGCUAAGUCGGGUGUGAAAUUUCGGAGCUUAACUCCGAAACUGCAUUCGAUACUGGCGUGCUUGAGGACUGGAGAGGAGACUGGAAUUCAUGGUGUAGCAGUGAAAUGCGUAGAGAUCAUGAGGAAGACCAGUGGCGAAGGCGGGUCUCUGGACGGAUACUGACGCUGAGGCGCGAAAGCGUGGGGAUCAAACAGG
rnacentral:rRNA from 1 species